rnacentral:lncRNA from 1 species
UAGCAGGACAAGCUAAUUCAUUUGCAUGCAGAGCAACAAUAACAAUACUCCAAACAUACCAAGGGACGUCACACUGGAAAAACAAUGCAACCAACGGGUUCUCUCCAGUGGCAAAAUUGACUAUUUUUGAACUUGCACAACAUCUAAACAAGAACUACAUGAUACACAAUUUUCCAUCAUGCACCUCCUAUCCUGAGCAUAAAUGAAAUGAGAGAAGGGUAUCCAGAACAUCUAAACAAGAACUUGCAAUUUUUUCCAUCAUGCUACCAGAGAUUCUGCCUUCUCCCCUGGCCCUGAAACAAGAGCACCAUCAGUUUAGUUUUAAACAAAUUGAAAGUUCAAACAUGAGGCAUGUAGUUUUUCAAAUGAUGAAAGUCACAGAACUGAGCUAUUUUUGUUUUACUUCAAAUAAUUCAACAUGAAAAGGACAAAUACAG